AGUGAACGCUGGCGGUAGGCCUAACACAUGCAAGUCGAACGGCAGCACAGUAAGCUCUUGCUCUUACGGGUGGCGAGUGGCGGACGGGUGAGGAAUACAUCGGAAUCUACUUUUUCGUGGGUGAUAACGUAGGAAAACUUACGCUAAUACCGCAUAUGACCUACGGGUGAAAGCAGUGGAUCUUCGGACCUUGCGCGAUUGAAUUAGCCGAUGUCGGAUUAGCUAGUUUGCGGGGUAAAGGCCCACCAAGGCGACGAUCCGUAGCUGGUCUGAGAGGAUGAUCAGCCACACUGGAACUGAGACACGGUCCAGACUCCUACGGGAGGCAGCAGUGGGGAAUAUUGGACAAUGGGCGAAAGCCUGACCCAGCAAUACCGCGUGAGUGAAGAAGGUCUUCGGGUUGUAAAACCCUUUUGUUGGGAAAGAAAAGCAGCAGGUGAAUACACCGCUGUUCUGACGGUACCCAAAGAAAAAGCACCGGCUAACUUCGUG
rnacentral:rRNA from 1 species